rnacentral:tRNA from 1 species
CCCUGGUUAGCUCAGUUCAUAGAGCUCUCCAAUGGAAAUGGAGAGGUUCCUGGUUCGAUAUCAGGACCGGGCG